rnacentral:sRNA from 1 species
AUAAGCGGAGGAAAAGAAACCAACAGGGAUUGCCCUAGUAACGGCGAGUGAAGCGGCAACAGCUCAAAUUUGAAAUCUGGCGUCUUUGGCGUCCGAGUUGUAAUUUGCAGAGGGCGCUUUGGCAUUGGCAGCGGUCCAAGUUCCUUGGAACAGGACGUCACAGAGGGUGAGAAUCCCGUACGUGGUCGCUAGCCUUUACCGUGUAAAGCCCCUUCGACGAGUCGAGUUGUUUGGGAAUGCAGCUCUAAAUGGGAGGUAAAUUUCUUCUAAAGCUAAAUACUGGCCAGAGACCGAUAGCGCACAAGUAGAGUGAUCGAAAGAUGAAAAGCACUUUGGAAAGAGAGUUAAAAAGCACGUGAAAUUGUUGAAAGGGAAGCGCUUGCAGCCAGACUUGCCUGUAGUUGCUCAUCCGGGUUUUUACCCGGUGCACUCUUCUAUAGGCAGGCCAGCAUCAGUUUGGGCGGUUGGAUAAAGGUCUCUGUCAUGUACCUCUCUUCGGGGAGAACUUAUAGGGGAGACGACAUGCAACCAGCCUGGACUGAGGUCCGCGCAUCUGCUAGGAUGCUGGCGUAAUGGCUGUAAGCGGCCCGUCUUGAAA